rnacentral:tRNA from 1 species
GCGGAUAUGGCGAAAUUUGGUAUACGCGCUAGGUUUAGGUCCUAGUAGAGAGUUCUGUGCAGGUUCAAGUCCUGUUAUCCGCACCA